rnacentral:rRNA from 1 species
AUGCCUCCGUCCUCCCGCCUUGCCGGCUGCGUGUGUGUGCUGUAUGUGCUUGACGCUGCAUGCUUGUUGGCUUGUCACUGGGUGCUUGUCCCUGCUGGCCUGCUGCAGCUGCUGCUGCUUUGCUGUAUAUAUUUGUAUAAUGCUUGCAUCUUGUAUGCAGCUAUGCUUUGUUUUAUACUGACAUUGUUGUUGCUGCUGCUGACCUGUUGA